GUUUCCCUGCUUUGUGCGUGAUGGCUCGGGGGCUCGUUUGAGCCGAUGUUUCAUCCCAAGUGAGUCGCGACGUUGCGUGGUGUGCAUGCCUCUGUAAGAGGAAGCCUGAAGCGCGGCUUGUGCAGCGACUCCACCUGCUCUAGCAGGUUCAUUCGACCUCCCCACACGGCAAAGCGGGGUUCUU
rnacentral:other from 2 species